rnacentral:rRNA from 1 species
CACGCCGUAAACGUUGGGCGCUAGGUGUGGGGAACCUUCCACGUUCUCCGUGCCGUAGCUAACGCAUUAAGCGCCCCGCCUGGGGAGUACGGCCGCAAGGCUAAAACUCAAAGGAAUUGACGGGGGCCCGCACAAGCGGCGGAGCAUGCGGCUUAAUUCGAUGCAACGCGAAGAACCUUACCUAGGCUUGACAUAUACCGAAAACUCAUAGAGAUAUGGGGUCCGCAAGGGCAGUAUACAGGUGG